rnacentral:rRNA from 1 species
GCAAGUCGAACGGCAGCACGGGGGCAACCCUGGUGGCGAGUGGCGAACGGGUGAGUAAUACAUCGGAACGUGUCCUGUAGUGGGGGAUAGCCCGGCGAAAGCCGGAUUAAUACCGCAUACGCUCGAGAGAGGAAAGUGGGGGAUCUUCGGACCUCACGCUAAAGGGGCGGCCGAUGGCAGAUUAGCUAGUUGGUGGGGUAAAGGCCUACCAAGGCGACGAUCUGUAGCUGGUCUGAGAGGACGACCAGCCACACGGGGACUGAGACACGGCCCCGACUCCUACGGGAGGCAGCAGUGGGGAAUUUUCCGCAAUGGGCGAAAGCCUGACGGAGUGACGCCGCGUGUGGGACGAAGGCCUCGGGUCGUNAACACUGUCAGUGGGAAAGAUGGGUGUCGGCGCCAAUACCGNCGGCAUCUGACCGUACCUGCAGAGGAAGCCCGGCCAACUCU